UGUGCAUUCAAAAGUACGCUCGACACCGACGCAGUUCCUCCCCUUCUCUCUCUCUGUGUCUCUCUCUGUGUCUCAAUCCCUGACAAGUGCAGAUCCUCUAUGACCAUCCCCAGAGUGAGAGCUGCUGGCUCCCCACCCCGUCUCUCUCUCUCUCUCACACACACAGACACACACACACUCUCUGGGGUUUCAAAGCAGCACUCCCCCAGUGUUUCCUGCCCCCUUCCCUCCCACAACAUCCCGGGAUUCUGAGCCGCAGGUAUUGAUCGAACUCUCCCAGAAUGAGGGCUCAGAAAAUGCCCUUGGACUUCGGUGGAGAGGAAGCAGCAAAAGCCUUCCCGAGUAGACUUUUAACGGCUGUUGUGAUCGGUUGUGUUAUAUUUCAAGCUAAUGAAGCCAUUGAAGUUCACAUUGGAAAAUUGUCAACGAUUGUGGUACUGAACGGCACUGAUGUCGAGUUGCCCUGUACGUUCGCUAGUUGCAUGGACUUCAAAGACUCCAUCUUCUGGUGGACAUUUCAGAAAAACCAAACGAGUGAAGAAUCGAAAAUUAUUCAUAUUAAACUAAAAGAUAAGACACCCCACAUCUUUCCAUCUGAGGAGUAUGACAGAGUUACAUUUAUUGGGAAUAUUAAAGAGAAGAAUAUUUCCCUUUUGCUUGCAGACGUGGAUUUUGAGGAUAAUGGAUUCUAUACUUGUUACUUCAAAAACCCACAGGAAAAGAAUCAAGAGGCGAAUGCGUCUCUUCAACUAAGGGUUGUCAGUGAAUUGGUAAAAGUGGACAACACAGUGACAGUGAUCAUCCUGGCUGUUAUCGGAGGGUUAAUAGGACUCAUCAUUCUAAUAUUUAUUAUUAAAAAGCUUGUAAUGUUUAUAAUUAAGCGAGUUGGAAAGAAGAAGUAAGUAAGAUGAAAAAAUGCAGAACAUUAUAAUAUUUUUUAAAAAUGCAUCUUAAAGCAAAACUUUGCAGCUAACAGUUACUAGAAUGAGAAGAUGCACUAACUGAUUAACUGUAACGUGCUCCAAUAUACCUCGCACCACUCACUAGUUUGUGCCUAUGAUUUGAUCAUGUAGCUCUGCUUUAUUUUGAUUAAAAAUAACGUUCAGCUGUUGUUCAGUCAGUAGAAGUUAGCAAUAACACAGGUGUGAUGUGCCGAAAAGCUUCCAUCCAUCCAGUUCUAUGUAGAGAGAGAAUUUAACUCUGAUUACUUAAGAGAUAUCAAGGACUGAACAAUCUGCAAUGUUUACUGUUGGAUACUUCACUGAUUCUAUGCAAGUAAGAAUAAUAAGUUUCUUCAUAUGAUCACUACAAAGAUUAUUCAUGUCUGAGGUUUAGGCUUUUUAAUGGAAAAGUCUAUCUAAUGUGACACAAUUUAUUUCAAUGUUGAAUUAUAGUCCAUACUUGGCAAGGAUUUGACCUUCAAACAGAAUAAUGAGGAUUGAUUGUAAUGCUUCCUGUUAAUAUUGAGAGCCAUGUUAUUUUAGAAUCCAGGCAUAAAAGCCUUACCUGAUCAGGUAGCAUCUCAAUUGUUGUGUUUAAGCUGUUUCUUCCAGUACAUCAUUCGGGAUUUGAGGCUUGUGAACAAACUCCUUUCUCUGAUCACUCGCUGACAUGUUCCUUGUGCAUUUCUAGUCCAUUGAGGCUAUUGGGUCAGUCUCAGAUUUCCUGCUCCUGUGAUAGGGUUAGAGUUAGUUCUGGUGCAAUCUUUUUCACCCUCUACUGUGCUCGCCCACCACCUCUCACCCACAUCAUCACAACCACCCCCAUCCCCCAGCAAACCCCUCCCUUUGAAUGUCGAGUCUUGGGUAAUAAUGGAGUAAAUAAUUUACUUGCUUAAUGAUUGGACAUCAUUUUGUGUCUGACACAAGCAGCCAUGUCCCAUCAGAUGAUGGAAUCUUCCUGUGCCAAAGUCACGCCAGUUUGAAUUCUGACUUCCUUCCUCAUCCAAUACCUCAGUUGUAAUUCCAUCCCUCUUGUUAAUUUAUCCCAUUUUAAUACUUUUUUUCUGCUUGAACCUCUCUCUCUCUCCCCCAUGCCUCACUGGACACCACACACACCUGAGAGGGCGUAUGUUCAAGACUCGCCCUAGGGACCUGAGCACAACACCUGCACUGAGGGAGUGCUGCAUUGUCACAGGAGCUGUCUUCUGGAUACGGUGUUAACCCAAGGUCCUAUCUACCUCACGGGAAGGAGUGCCUGGUAAACUCCUGUGCCAACACUGAGCGUGGACAUUACGGUUCCAAAACC